GGCUCAGGAUGAACGCUAGCUACAGGCUUAACACAUGCAAGUCGAGGGGCAGCACAGUGUAGCAAUACAUGGGUGGCGACCGGCGCACGGGUGCGUAACGCGUAUCCAACCUUCCCGUUACUCUUGGAUAGCCUUCCGAAAGGGAGAUUAAUACAAGAUGGUAUUCAAAUUCCGCAUGUUAUUUGAAUUAAAGAUUUAUCGGUAACGGAUGGGGAUGCGUGACAUUAGAUAGUAGGCGGGGUAACGGCCCACCUAGUCUACGAUGUCUAGGGGUUCUGAGAGGAAGGUCCCCCACACUGGUACUGAGACACGGACCAGACUCCUACGGGAGGCAGCAGUGAGGAAUAUUGGUCAAUGGUCUGACGACCGAACCAGCCAUGCCGCGUGAAGGUCACGGCCCUAUGGGUCUUAAACUUCUUUUGCAAGGGAGCAAUAAGUCUCACGUGUGGGAUGAUGAGAGUACCUUGCGAAUAAGCAUCGGCUAACUCCGUG
rnacentral:rRNA from 1 species